GAUGAACGCUGGCGGCGUGCCUAAUACAUGCAAGUCGAGCGAACAGACGAGGAGCUUGCUCCUCUGACGUUAGCGGCGGACGGGUGAGUAACACGUGGAUAACCUACCUAUAAGACUGGGAUAACUUCGGGAAACCGGAGCUAAUACCGGAUAAUAUAUUGAACCGCAUGGUUCAAUAGUGAAAGACGGUUUUGCUGUCACUUAUAGAUGGAUCCGCGCCGUAUUAGCUAGUUGGUAAGGUAACGGCUUACCAAGGCAACGAUCCGUAGCCGACCUGAGAGAGUGGUCGGCCACACUGGAACUGAGACACGGUCCAGACUCCUACGGGAGGCAGCAGUAGGGAAUCUUCCGCAAUGGGCGAAAGCCUGACGGAGCAGCGCCGCGUGAGAGAUGAAGGUCUUCGGAUCGUAAAACUCUGUUAUUAGGGAAGAACAAAUGUGUAAGUAACUAUGCACGUCUUGACGGUACCUAAUCAGAAAGCCACGGCUAACUACGUG
rnacentral:rRNA from 1 species